rnacentral:rRNA from 1 species
GAGGAAUAUUGGACAAUGGAGGGAACUCUGAUCCAGCCAUGCCGCGUGCAGGAAGACUGCCCUAUGGGUUGUAAACUGCUUUUAUACAGGAAGAAACACUCCCUCGUGAGGGAGCUUGACGGUACUGUAAGAAUAAGCAUCGGCUAACUCCGUGCCAGCAGCCGCGGUAAUACGGAGGAUGCAAGCGUUAUCCGGAAUCAUUGGGUUUAAAGGGUCCGUAGGCGGAUUAAUAAGUCAGAGGUGAAAGCCAGCAGCUCAACUGUUGAACUGCCUUUGAUACUGUUAGUCUUGAGUUAUUGUGAAGUGGUUAGAAUAUGUAGUGUAGCGGUGAAAUGCAUAGAUAUUACAUAGAAUACCAAUUGCGAAGGCAGAUCACUAACAAUAAACUGACGCUGAUGGACGAAAGCGUGGGGAGCGAAC